rnacentral:lncRNA from 1 species
GUAGAUUCAUUACAUGAAACUGCCUCUGUAUAUGUGCACGGCUCCUCAGACGCAUCUGUCUCUUGAGCAGUCAUAAAUGCAUAAGCCACCAAAUUCGUUUCUUCAUAUCUCUGCGGUGGUCUAAUCUCCCUUCUCGGUCGAUCUCUGGCUAUGGAAUAUGUGUCUGUCUGUGGUUGCGCCUGUGGUUCUGUAGGAGCAGAAUCGCCUGAAGUGGUACCUGGUGCUGGAGUGAUUUGAUUUUUAGAGUGAGUUUGAAACUCCACCUCGACAGUUUUCUUCGAUCCAUCUGCAUCUGCAUCUGCACCUGCACCUGUACCUGUAUCACAAGAAACACGCGACUCCUUUCGGCGAAGCAUCGCAGUUUCGUUAAACUUGACAUCCCUGCUAAUUAUAAUUUUCUUAUCUUCAGGACACCACAAACGAAAACCUUUAGUGCCAGAAGCAUAACCUAAAAACUUGCAUUCUUUAGAUCUAGGUUUUAAUUU